GACGAACGCUGGCGGCGUGCUUAACACAUGCAAGUCGAGCGGUAAGGCCCUUUCGGGGUACACGAGCGGCGAACGGGUGAGUAACACGUGGGUGACCUGCCCUCAGCUCUGGGAUAAGCCCGGGAAACUGGGUCUAAUACUGGAUAUGACUCCAUGACGCAUGUUGUGGGGUGGAAAGCCUUGUGCGGCUGGGGAUGGGCCCGCGGCCUAUCAGCUUGUUGUGGGGUGAUGGCCUACCAAGGCGACGACGGGUAGCCGGCCUGAGAGGGCGACCGGCCACACUGUGACUGAGACACGGCCCAGACUCCUACGGGAGGCAGCAGUGGGGAAUCUUGCGCAAUGGGCGAAAGCCUGACGCAGCGACGCCGCGUGAGGGAUGACGGCCU
rnacentral:rRNA from 1 species